rnacentral:rRNA from 1 species
ACCAGACUCCUACGGGAGGCAGCAGUGGGGAAUAUUGCACAAUGGGGGAAACCCUGAUGCAGCGACGCCGCGUGAGUGAAGAAGUAUUUCGGUAUGUAAAGCUCUAUCAGCAGGGAAGAAAGAAAUGACGGUACCUGACUAAGAAGCCCCGGCUAACUACGUGCCAGCAGCCGCGGUAAUACGUAGGGGGCAAGCGUUAUCCGGAUUUACUGGGUGUAAAGGGAGCGUAGACGGCGAUGCAAGUCCGAAGUGGAAGGCGGGGGCCCAACCCCCGGACUGCUUUGGAAACUGUAUGGCUGGAGUGCAGGAGAGGUAAGUGGAAUUCCUAGUGUAGCGGUGAAAUGCGUAGAUAUUAGGAGGAACACCAGUGGCGAAGGCGGCUUACUGGACUGUAACUGACGUUGAGGCUCGAAAGCGUGGGGAGCAAACAGGAUUAGAUACCCGAGUAU